CCUACGGGUGGCAGCAGUGAGGAAUAUUGGUCAAUGGGCUUACGCCUGAACCAGCCAAGUCGCGUGAGGGAAGACUGCCCUAUGGGUUGUAAACCUCUUUUGUCAGGGAGCAACGCCGGCUACGUGUAGCCGGACUGAGAGUACCUGAAGACAAAGCAUCGGCUAACUCCGUACCACCAGCCGCGGUAAUACGGAGGAUGCGAGCUGUAUCCGGAUUUAGUGGGUUUAGGGGGUGCGUAGGCGGAAUGCCAAGUCAGCGGGAAAAUCGCGGGGCUCAACCGCGCACCGACGUUGAAACUGGCGUUCUUGAGUGGGCGAGAAGUAUGCGGAAUGCGUGGUGUAGCGGUGAAAUGCAUAGAUAUCACGAAGAACUCCGAUUGCGAAGGCAGCAUACCGGCGCCCAACUGACGCUGAAGCACGAAAGCGUGGGUAUCGAACAGGAUUAGAUACCCUGGUAGUC
rnacentral:rRNA from 1 species